rnacentral:lncRNA from 1 species
GCUAAUUCUCAUAAAGAAUCAGUCCAUAAAAGGAGGAAGGUGUCAGUCCUUCUUAAAGGCCGUACCUCCCACCACUGCUACAUUGACAACCAAAUUUCAGCACAAGUUUGGGAAAUGACCAACCACAUCCAAACUAUAGCACCACCUUCUUUUGGCCUCCCUGAAGGAUUCAUUCUGUUCAUUUGCUUCCACAAAGUCAGGUUUCACCCUUGCAGCAGUUAUGUCAGUCAAUUCUGACACCUGCUAAAAUGGUCAGGAAGGCUUUAUUUAGGAUUAUCGCAAAAGGAGUCGCGAUUAUCAUGAGAGGGGAGAGUGAGCCCCCUCCAAAAACAAGAAGGACAAGUGGAAACUUCCAGCCAAUGAGCAGGGCUAAGGGGAGAGCAGAUGAAAAACGACGAAGAAGAGACCUGGAGAAUGGGAGGUUUCUUGCUAAACCAAUUGAACAACAUUCUCUGGAUGGCAGACAGGGGCAAUCAGGGAGUGAGUGGGGAUGAAGCAUUUGAUCCCUUACGAGGAGGGUGAUCAUAUAUCAAGGGGCAGGGAACGCCUACCAGACAAACUUAGCGGGAUUAUAGCAAAGAGUGGGUGGUCCAGGCCCAGUAAGGGCAGAAGAGGAGCCCAGUGCGUGAUCUAAGUUCCAGACCUGGCUGAGGAGAGAGCAGAGAGAAGCCCAACUAAGGUUGUCAGUGCCACUGCUCUAUGUUUAUGUAUUUGUGUGGCCGUGAAAUUCUGUCUUCAUUUCUACACCGUGAGCUCCUUGUUCACAGGGCCCUUCUGCCUCUGCUUACCAUGUGCUAUGAUCUGGGCGUGGUUUCAUGUGCUGAAAGACUGGUAUAUUAUGGGAUACCAGCAUAGGGUGUUAAAAGACGGUGGAGCCUUUAAGAGGUGGGGCCUAGUAGAAGGUAAUUGCAUCAUGGGGGACACCACCUCAGCAGGAUUAAUGCGUGUCUUGCAGGAAGGAGUUGGUUAGAGCUCCAGGAAACGGGUUGGUUACCACAAGCUGAAGAAACCCUUCAGCUUUCUCUUCUUGCUCUCUUACUUCUGCCCUGACCAUGUACCAUCUCACUCUUGCACGUGUUUCCUCCAUGUGAUGCCACCCUUCAUGUUAUGAUGCAUCAAGAGGUCCUCACCAGAUGUAGUUGCUGGACCUUGAACUUUCAGCUUCCAAAGCGAUGAUCUAAAUCAACCUAUUUGCUUUAGAAGCUACCAGUUUCGGUUUUUUUGUUAUAG